rnacentral:rRNA from 1 species
CAAUAGCGUAUAUUAAAGUUGUUGCAGUUAAAAAGCUCGUAGUCGGAUUUUGGCAUCAUGCCGAACUGUCAGCCGAUUGGUUUGUACGGUUUGGCGGGUGCUCUCCUUCCGGAGGCUCGUUUCCUCUUUCAUUAGAGGGUUCGAUGGUUCCGGGUCUUUUACUUUGAAAAAUUAGAGUGUUCAAAGCAGGCCUAUGCUCUGAAUAGGUUAGCAUGGAAUAAUAAAAUAGGACCUUGGUACUAUUUUGUUGGUUUGCGUACCUAGGUAAUGAUUAAUAGGGACAGUUGGGGGUAUUCGUAUUCAAUUGUCAGAGGUGAAAUUCUUGGAUUUAUGGAAGACGAACUACUGCGAAAGCAUUUACCAAGGAUGUUUUCAUUAAUCAAGAACGAAAGUUAGGGGAUCGAAGACGAUUAGAUACCAU